rnacentral:sRNA from 1 species
CUUCGGGAGGCUAUAUCUCUUGUGGCCCGUUCAGUUUGAUGCCUUCCUGUGAUCGAAAAAAUGUACCCGACUUAAUGCAGUCCUUAUCAAGGAUCCCGAAUAUUUUUCCCAAUGAAGAAUUUUAGUAUUUAUUUAUUUAUUUUAUUAUUCGAUAACGGAAUCAAAAUAAUCCUUAUCCAACUUAUCUCUAUCUUCAGUAAUAAGAAAAACAAAAAACUACAAAAUAAUACAUGAAAUAGGAAAAAAUCUAUAAUUAACCGUCUGACGACUCCUUUCCCCUGGCAAAAGUCAAGCUGGCAACGCAUUGGGCUGGCGAAAAGCCCAACAGAUGGGCUAAUUAUUACCAUAGUUUGUCCGGUGGAGAUCAACCACAAAGGGUGCAUUGGUCCUUAGGCGCCUUGCAGGCGUAGAGGGAGGAGAGAUGCACGAUGCGAAAUCUGGGAACUUUUUGGAUGCCAGGAUAGGCUACAGCUUCAAAACGUAGGACUUACAUAUACGGUGUCCUAUCCAAGCAUUAGCGAGGCGCAUUGAAGACAGACUGAAUCCUAUCCCAACACCUUGCAAGAUACGAAACUAAGAAGCCAUCGUCAUCCUUCAUCCUGGCCAUCGACAACAAGGACUUUGACUUUGAUCUCGUUGUUGUUAGGUUUAAGGAUAAACUUUAGAUAGU